rnacentral:rRNA from 1 species
GAUGAACGCUGGCGGCGUGCCUAAUACAUGCAAGUCGAGCGAACAGACGAGGAGCUUGCUCCUCUGACGUUAGCGGCGGACGGGUGAGUAACACGUGGAUAACCUACCUAUAAGACUGGGAUAACUUCGGGAAACCGGAGCUAAUACCGGAUAAUAUAUUGAACCGCAUGGUUCAAUAGUGAAAGACGGUUUUGCUGUCACUUAUAGAUGGAUCCGCGCCGCAUUAGCUAGUUGGUAAGGUAACGGCUUACCAAGGCAACGAUGCGUAGCCGACCUGAGAGGGUGAUCGGCCACACUGGAACUGAGACACGGUCCAGACUCCUACGGGAGGCAGCAGUAGGGAAUCUUCCCAAUGGGCGAAAGCUUGACGGAGCAACGCCGCGUGAGUGAUGAAGGUCUUCGGAUCGUAAAACUCUGUUAUUAGGGAAGAACGAAUGUGUAAGUAACUAUGCACGUCUUGACGGUACCUAAUCAGAAAGCCACGGCUAACUACGUG